GGCGGAGCCAAGCGGCCACAUGGCGCAAGCGGCCACCAAUCUUGCUGUUCCUCCCCUCGGUGGGGCUGGCGCCGGUUUACCACUCGGUCCCGCCGCCUGCCUCGGGACGAGUCGCCAGAGGCCCCAGCAGUCGCUUUGGACUCUUCGUGACCUCAUGGACCAGCCCAUACCAGAGUUCCCUGUUGGCUGUUGCAACCCCCAGCUCCUUCAAGGUCAAGCCAGUCACUUCAAGGAUAACAUCCAUCCGUCUUGCCCUUGGUCGGUCUUCCUCCGCUCAGCCUUCCUUGUGGUCCAGCUCUUGCAUCCAUAGGUUACUACAGAGAAUACCCUUGCUUUAACUAUGCAAACCUUCAUUGCCAGUGUGAUGUCUCUACUCUUCACUAUUUUAUGGAGAUUAGUCAUGACUCUCCUCCCAAGAAGUAAACUUCUGAUUAUCUUCAGAACAUUGGAAAACUUACUUUUAAAAAAGGAUAAGUAUAAUGCCAUGCUGAAGCUAUCUAUAAGCGAGCAAUGGUAGGAUGAUGCUCUGAGAGCCACAGCAUCACCCUAAACAUCAUCACUCUGUUUUUACUUAUUUAAGGGAUGGCUCCAGAUUGCAUCAUAUUUGUUUUUAUGUAAAGGAAGUUUUCAAACUCGGCUACUAUGCUUAAAACACAAAUCAGAUCUCUAAAAGAAACGCACCUAGCUUAUAUGCUCUUUUUUGUUUGUGCAUGAAUAAUGGCUUUUCCUCAAAGAUUUUAUUUUAAUGUAAUAGAAAAGUUAAAAAGGUAUCUGUGGGCACAGUGAUAUUGAGAAUAAAGCUGGUAUAUUUCUG
rnacentral:lncRNA from 11 species